rnacentral:rRNA from 1 species
UGGGGAAUAUUGCACAAUGGCGGGAACUCUGAUGCAGCGACGCCGCGUGAGUGAUGAAGGACUUCGUUUCGUAAAACUCUGUUCUAUGGGAAGAAAAGGACUGUACCAUAGGAGAAAGCUCCGGCUAAAUACGAGCCAGCAGCCGCGGUAAUACGUAUGGAGCGAGCGUUGUCCGGAAUUAUUGGGCGUAAAGGGUGCGCAGGCGGCUUUACAAGUUGGAAGUGAAAUAUUGUGGCUCAACCACAAACGUGCAUCCAAAACUGCAAAGCUUGAGUUAAGGAGAGGGAAGUGGAAUUCCUGGUGUAACGGUGGAAUGCGUAGAUAUCAGGAGGAAUACCGGUAGCGAAGGCGACGUACUGUACUUAAACUGACUCACAGGCACGAAAGCGUGGGGAGCAAACAGG